CCUCACGGAGUACACAGUAAUGAUCUGCUGUUGACAGUUUAUUCACUAUAAAUUGUAUUUUCUUUUUCCUCCCUACAAAACCAUUAGAAUUGAUCGGUGUCUAUACACCUGUAUAUAUUUCAGGAACACAAAGUUGAACCACCUCAAGAACAGAUUGUUCGUGAUGAGACCGUUUACUCUUAUAUUCUUUUUGUUACACCCGAGAUAGUGCAAUUCAAAGAUCUUGGGAGUCCGGAGCGGGGAUUUAUAGAAUCGGAUGAUGACGAAAGCGACACGUCAGCUUCGCCAUGGAAAUCGUGUCUAUGCUGGGAGUCCUGUUUAUCUCAGAAAGUCAAACCUACUGAAAAGAAGGGCGAGCUCUUGGCAAGGAUAAGAAACUGUUUCAGGAGCUAUUGAUUAAACGAUAGACUGCACACACUUAAUUACCAAAUCUGUGAUAUCAUGUUUUAAUUAAAGUAUGAUUUUUAUAAUC